ACCUUUAGUAUCUAGAAGAAAAUUGUAUUCAGUUUUAUAUGUAUGUAUGUUACAUCUCGGAAUUUGGGUUCGAGAAAUGGUAAUUUUCUACAUGUUACUUUUCAUAGCACAAAUUAAUUAUGCGAAACAUAAUUCAAUAACUGCUUCCUGUAUUGCUUUUAACGAAUUUGAGUUUGUAAUUGAUUUUAAUAGAAAUAGUAAGAUGUAUUGAAUUUAUUGUAACACUAUGUUUUUACCACUGUCAAUUUAUAAAUAUAAUGUUUGAUUUUAAUGUAGUCUCCAUAAAGUAUUGUAACUUGAAAGACGAAUAAAUAAAUAAACUCGCGGCAUCAAAAUUAAGUUUUUUUUUCAAAUCAAGCUUUCGUCUAUACCUUAGUGUUUGAUUUUACAAACAAAUUGUGGUUAAAACUAUAACCAGCUCCAUUACUCCAUAUUCCUCAAUAACACAGAUAUCAGUUUUAAUUAAAUUCCACACGAGAAUAAUAAUAAUUUAUAUUUUCCGUAUAAUUUUUAAAUAUUAUAAUCAGCAAAAUAUACUAAGUAUUUUUAAUUACUCUUGUAUGCAUAAGUGCACUAGGUUACAUGUUUUCAAUUUUCAAUUAAAAUAUAGAUAUUUUGGUAGUUCCACUUAAAUUACUCAGUUCUGAGAAAAAUAAGUUUCUGGACGGUUCAUAUUUCUAUAUUACUAGAUAUUAAAAUGAAUUGGUUCAAAAUUGUAGUAUUUUUUACAACAGUGAUUUUUGCAAUGGGAACUUCAUCGUCGUCAGCUGAAUCCAUGACCGAAUGCUCCCCACUCAAUUUUCUAAACGGUGGACAGCUUGAACUUGAAAUAACACUUCCUUACUUUGGAACUAUUCCCUACAAAUAUGGUUGGUAAUCAAAUAAUAUAAAAAUCUAUACUUUAAAUAAAUAAUAUGGAUUAAUAUCAACAAAUUA